AACGAACGCUGGCGGCAUGCCUAACGCAUGCAAGUCGAACGAGACCUUCGGGUCUAGUGGCGCACGGGUGCGUAACGCGUGGGAACCUGCCCUUAGGUUCGGCAUAACUCCCCGAAAGGGGUGCUAAUACCGGAUAAUGUCUUCGGACCAAAGAUUUAUCGCCUUUGGAUGGGCCCGCGUUGGAUUAGCUAGUUGGUAGGGUAAAAGCCUACCAAGGCGACGAUCCAUAGCUGGUCUGAGAGGAUGAUCAGCCACACUGGGACUGAGACACGGCCCAGACUCCUACGGGAGGCAGCAGUGGGGAAUAGUGGACAAUGGGCGAAAGCCUGAUCCAGCAAUGCCGCGUGAGUGAUGAAGGCCUUAGGGUUGUAAAGCUCUUUUACCCGGGAUGAUAAUGACAGUACCGGGAGAAUAAGCUCCGGCUAACUCCGUG
rnacentral:rRNA from 1 species